rnacentral:rRNA from 1 species
GGGCCCGCACAAGCAGUGGAGUAUGUGGUUUAAUUCGAAGCAACGCGAAGAACCUUACCAGGUCUUGACAUCCUACUAACGAAGCAGAGAUGCAUUAGGUGCCCUUCGGGGAAAGUAGAGACAGGUGGUGCAUGGUUGUCGUCAGCUCGUGUCGUGAGAUGUUGGGUUAAGUCCCGCAACGAGCGCAACCCUUAUUGUUAGUUGCUACGCAAGAGCACUCUAGCAAGACUGCCGUUGACAAAACGGAGGAAGGUGGGGACGACGUCAAAUCAUCAUGCCCCUUAUGACCUGGGCUACACACGUACUACAAUGGCCGUUAACAAAGAGAAGCGAAACCGCGAGGUGGAGCAAACCUAUAAAAACGGUCUCAGUUCGGAUUGUAGGCUGAAACCCGCCUGCAUGAAGUUGGAAUUGCUAGUAAUCGCGGAUCAUAAUGCCGCGGUGAAUACGUUCCCGGGCCUU